rnacentral:rRNA from 1 species
CUCCAGACUCCUACGGGAGGCAGCAGUGGGGAAUAUUGCACAAUGGGGGAAACCCUGAUGCAGCGACGCCGCGUGAGCGAAGAAGUAUUUCGGUAUGUAAAGCUCUAUCAGCAGGGAAGAAAUUGACGGUACCUGAGUAAGAAGCUCCGGCUAAAUACGUGCCAGCAGCCGCGGUAAUACGUAUGGAGCAAGCGUUAUCCGGAUUUACUGGGUGUAAAGGGAGCGUAGGCGGCCUGCCAAGUCUGAUGUGAAGUACCGGGGCUCAACCCCGGGGCUGCAUUGGAAACUGGCAGGCUGGAGUGUCGGAGAGGCAGGCGGAAUUCCUAGUGUAGCGGUGAAAUGCGUAGAUAUUAGGAGGAACACCAGUGGCGAAGGCGGCCUGCUGGACGAUGACUGACGCUGAGGCUCGAAAGCGUGGGGAGCAAACAGGAUUAGAUACCCCCGUAG